rnacentral:lncRNA from 1 species
CUCUCAGGACCCAGAUUCGGCCCGCACUUCCGGGAGAUCCUGCCCCCCCCCCCCCCGCGGGCAGUGGUCCCUAGUUUAUACUCCAAGGAAAAUGAGGAAGGAAGGCAUGGGCUCCGUAAGACGCGAACUACCGGAGGCUGUGCUCUGCGCUUGUCUGCGGAAGCUGGCGCCAGCCUGGAGCCUGGAAAAGGGGAGACGGGAGGCCGGGCCGGUUCUCCACACACCCCCAUCCUUCUCAGUCUCCGGGUGGAGUCCCCAGGACGUCGCCGUUCCCUCUGUCACUACCACCCCACCCCCGGCCGCCGCUAUUGCCCCCACCGUUUCCCGCCUAGUCGUUUGUUUUCGUCUGUAAAAGGUGUCUCCGGAUCACAGUUUUCUCACAACUUCUCGCCGGGGUUGCAACUCCUCACCCGAGGCGCUUCCCCACCCACUCCUUCCCCCCCUAUCCCCGCCCGAGCCGCGCCUCCGGUCUUCCCCGCCCCCACCAGGGAAACCGCCGGAAUCAACUUUCCAAGACGGCGCUGCGGGAAACAGACACCCAGAUCUCCCAGAGCCCCGGAACCUGUGGACUUUGGAUGGAUUGGGGGAGGGGGGCACAGAAGGAGCGACCGGAGGAGAUUUUGCUGCCAAACGCCCUCCCCUCUACGCCCCCAAAGACACGCGCGUUGCCCGGGGCAAACUUCUAGGCCAAGAAAGCAAGGGUGGCGGGCGGGAGGGACCCAGCACCCGCUGAAUUGCAAAGCCAAACAGUGCACCUGGGCCGCCGAGGCUCCCGAAGCCAGCUGCACCCCAACCUCCAACAAGGCUCGAUCUUGGGUACCACCCACCCUCAGGGCAGAAAUCUGCCCUCCGCCUGCACCCACUCACGCGCGCUCUCAGUCUCUCCUACCGCAAGCGACACGAUACCGGAGCAGGAGGGGACCCGGGCACUUCGCUGCCCGCCGCCCGCACCGCGCGGGGCCGCAGUGGCCGCCGCCACUGAUCCUCGAAACGCGGUCUCCCGGCACUCUCCCCAGCCGGGAGAUGCAGGAUGGUUUACAGAGGGACCGCGAGCCGCUGAUUGGUCGCAGGCCGCCGUGA